ensembl:lncRNA
CCCCCCCUCUUUUCCCCUCCUAAUGAGAUCAUGUAAACUGCUGCCCUACCUACCCCCCUACCCCCCAAUGACAUGUAGAACCCUCUUUGCCUACUCCAACCCCCCUCCUUUUCCCGUCCCACUCUUAUCGCCAUGGUAACCCAUUGGUAUGAGCCUGUGUCUAAACAGGAAGCCUUGGUUAGUUUUAGCCCGUCUCCCAACCAAGCCCUACCCUGCUGCAGGGAGGAGGCAAGGGGAGGUGAGAUACGUCCCUACCCUGCUGCAGGGAGGAGGCAGGGAGAGGUGAGAUACGUCCCUACCCUGCUGCAAGGGGAGGUGAGAUACGUUCCCACCCUGCUGCAGGGAGGAGGCAGGGGGAGGUGAGAUACGUCCCUGCCCUGCUGCAGGGGGGGGAGGUGAGGUGAGAUACGUCCCUACCCUGCUGCAGGGAGGAGGCAGGGGGAGGUGAGAUACGUCCCUACACUGCUGCAGGGAGGAGGCAGGGGGAGGUGAGAUACGUCCCUGCCCUGCUGCAGGGGGAGGUGAGAUACGUCCCUGCCCUGCUGCAGGGGGAGGUGAGAUACGUCCCUACCCUGCUGCAGGGGGAGGUGAGAUACGUCCCUACCCUGCUGCAGGGGGAGGUGAGAUACGUCCCUACCCUGCUGCAGGGGGAGGUGAGAUACGUCCCUACCCUGCUGCAGGGAGGAGGUGAGAUACGUCCCUACCCUGCUGCAGGGAGGAGGUGAGAUACGUCCCUACCCUGCUGCAGGGAGGAGGUGAGAUACGUCCCUACCCUGCUGCAGGGAGGAGGUGAGAUACGUCCCUGCCCUUCGUUCCUUCUCACUGUUUUUGUUUUUCUUCAUUCGUCUUUUGUAUAAACUAGAAUCAUUUCACUGUUUUGCUACUGCUGUGGCAAUCACAGUUCUGUGUCGUACCGCUAGUAUGGGAUGGAACGUAAUUUAAUUUGACUGAGUACGUCACCAAAUCAUCGUCCCAUAUACAAACACACAAGCCAUGUGCUUACCAGCAAGUCAUUUAACAUGGGAGGUUCGUUUCCAGUCCUGCUUCUAUCUAUAUAUAUAUAUAGAGCGCGUGUAUACUUGGUGUAGAACUUUGCAUAUAUAUAAAUAUAAAAAACUUUAGUUUUUCUGUUUUUUGAUGUUGACUAUCUAUAAUGUCUCCUAGUAGUGAACACAUUUCUGACUGUGUAAUUGUACAUUUGUAAACCCUUGUAAUGUAAACGUGAUUUACCACCCUUUUUGGUAUCAGACGAUAUAUAUAUAUAUGUAUAUAUAUAUGUAUAUCUAUAUAUAAAAAAACAAAACGUUUAAAAAAAACUCUUAACUCUGUGCAUUUCGAUGCAUAUUCCCACCUCCUUGUUUGUGACAUAUGAGUUGUUGUAUAUUGUAAAUUGUAAUAUCAAAUUUUGGUUUUGAAAAUUCCUUUCUAUACUGCGUAGUACUUGUACAAAGCACCCCCCACCUCAACAGAACUCACCACCUUAACAACAGAACUCACCACCUCAACAACAGAACUCACCACCUCAACAACAGAACUCACCACCUCAACAACAGAACUCACCACCUCAACAACAGAACUCACCACCUCAACCCCAUCCACCGAACUACACUGCAAACGCUCCCUGUCCGUUUACUAAACGUCCAUUACGCCACAGUUACCACUGAAGUCAACGAGACGUGGUACACCAACAUGUCAGUAGUGAAGAGACUCUUUUAUUUUUUACACAAGUCUAUAUAAAUUACAGAGAGUGAGACAUGGCAUCUGACUGAAGCGUCAACAGCUGACAGUGACUCUGGGUUUCCGCCUGUUCUGUAGCAGUCAAAACAUUACAGCACACACGCUACAGAACACACGCUACAGAACACACGCUACAGAACACACGCUACAGAACACACGCUACAGAACACACGCUACAGAACACACGCUACAGAACACACGCUACAGAACACACGUUACAGAACACACGCUACAGAACACACGCUACAGAACACACGCUACAGAACACACGCUACAGAACACACCUUACAGAACACACGCUACAGAACACACGCUACAGAACACACCUUACAGAACACACGCUACAGAACACACCUUACAGAACACACCUUACAGAACACACGCUACAGAACACACGCUACAGAACACACGCUACAGAACACACGCUACAGAACACACGUUACAGAACACACGCUACAGAACACACGCUACAGAACACACGCUACAGAACACACCUACAGAACACACGCUACAGAACACACGCUACAGAACACACCUUACAGAGAACACACGCUACAGAACACACGCUACAGAACACACGCUACAGAACACACCUUACAGAACACACGUUACAGAACACACGCUACAGAACACACGCUACAGAACACACCUUACAGAACACACCUUACAGAACACACCUUACAGAACACACGCUACAGAACACACGCUACAGAACACAC